UCGCCCGCCCAGAGCCCCGUGGCCAGCGGCCGGCCGCGGGGCCUUUUUGUCCUGAGGGCCAGAGAAAGGGAGAAGGGGGUGGGGGGACAGCCACGUGGCCGCAGGAGGAUUUACAACAUUUUCUUUCGCCAUCGAUGUUAUCGCAAAAUGUGUGAGAGAAGCGGCUGCGCAGCCCGGACGGGAGCGUGAGGGUGCGGGCCAGGUAAGCAGCCCCGGCGGUUUCGCCGCAUACGGGACUGCGGGGCGACCGCGGGCACCAGCCACGCGCAGCGGCUCCGCGGGGUCUCGGCCGGGUCCGCGCUCUGAAGGAUCUCGAGAGCCAUGGAUGGUGCAGGCGGGACCCUCGAGCUGCAGCAUCUCCGGUGACCCGGGGUUGCCGAGGAGGUGGAGACCAGCACAGGUGGUCCGGCCCGGGCGCCUCCGAAUCCGGGGGUGGUCAAGACGGAUCCCCAAGGCUGAGGUCGGCAGUCCCGGGGACUCGCAGCUGUUGAGCCUGUGGAGACGCGGCCCCGUGACCGAGGCACCCUUCAGCAACCCGGGGGCAGCGUUCCAGAGACUGAACUUCUCAAAUCACUGCUUCAACAGCUUUUAAAAAUCUGGACCUAGUUACUCCUGUCAUCUAUGUGUAAAGAUUUAGAAAAAAAAUCCCAAACCCAAGGGUGGGCAGCCGCGAGGAUGUACAGCUCCUGGCAGUGUGCGCUCACCCGGAGACCUGAGGUCAAAGCCCAAAUGCUGAGCACCUCCUGGGAGGCGGGAGCAUGGUCUGCUCAGUGCCAGACAUCUGGAUAUUGAGAAAACAUCUGGGUAGCUGGGGUUUUCAGGUUUCUGCCUGACAUUUAAUAUCACAAACAUUGAGCCUGCUCCUGUCCCCCACCAGCCACGCGGCUUCUCCUCCCAAACAUACCCAGCUCCUUCCCCUGCCUUCCUGACGGGUAAGAAACAUCCAUUCUUUCCAAUUCCCCAGCGUUUUCCCCCUACCGGAAAUCUGAUGGGCUUAUGACAUCAUGGCUGGCUGCUGAGCGAUGAAGUGGAUGCCACAAAGAAAUCCGACAUAUCAGAUAGAUUCUGAAAUCGGUUUCCCUCCAGCUGUAGUAACAGGCGUGAAGUCAGGAGAAUUUGAGCUUUGUUUAAAAAAUAAAUAAAUAAAUAAAUAAACCAUAACAAAGUCUUGCCCUGUAUUAAAUGCAAUUUUCUUAAAAACAAGCAAACCUUUUGGACAUCAUUUUAUUUUAAUAGAAAUGCUGAGUUUUAUGAAACUAAAGUGGCUAAUAAAUCAGACCUGAAGCUUUG
ensembl:lncRNA LINC01315 long intergenic non-protein coding RNA 1315